rnacentral:lncRNA from 1 species
CUUCCUUACAUUGAUGCUGAUUCAUAUUGAUCAGCCUAGUCAAUAUGUAUCAAUGUUAUAUUAUAGGCUACAGGGCUAUGAGGUAGGGUAUGGGGUUAUAUUAUAGUCUACAGGGCUAUGAGGUAGGGUAUGGGGUUAUAUUAUAGUCUACAGGGCUAUGAGGUAGGGUAUGGGGUUAUAUUAUAGUCUACAGGGCUGUGAGGUAGGGUAUGGGGUUAUAUUAUAGGCUACAGGGCUAUGAGGUAGGGUAUGGGGUUAUAUUAUAGUCUACAGGGUUAUGAGGUAGGGUAUGGGGUUAUAUUAUAGUCUACAGGGCUAUGAGGUAGGGUAUGGGGUUAUAUUAUAGUCUACAGGGCUGUGAGGUAGGGUAUGGGGUUAUAUUAUAGUCUACAGGGUUAUGAGGUAGGGUAUGGGGUUAUAUUAUAGUCUACAGGGUUAUGAGGUAGGGUAUGGGGUUAUAUUAUAGUCUACAGGGUUAUGAGGUAGGGUAUGGGGUUAUAUUAUAGUCUACAGGGUAAUGAGGUAGGGUAUGGGGUUAUAUUAUAGUCUACAGGGUUAUGAGGUAGGGUAUGGGGUUAUAUUAUAGUCUACAGGGCUAUGAGGUAGGGUAUGGGGUUAUAUUAUAGUCUACAGGGCUAUGAGGUAGGGUAUGGGGUUAUAUUAUAGUCUACAGGGCUAUGGGGUAGGGUAUGGGGUUAUAUUAUAGUCUACAGGGUUGUGAGGUAGGGUAUGGGGUUAUAUUAUAGUCUACAGGGCUAUGAGGUAGGGUAUGGGGUUAUAUUAUAGGCUACAGGGCUAUGAGGUAGGGUAUGGGGUUAUAUUAUAGUCUACAGGGCUAUGAGGUAGGGUAUGGGGUUAUAUUAUAGUCUACAGGGCUAUGAGGUAGGGUAUGGGGUUAUAUUAUAGGCUACAGGGUUAUGAGGUAGGGUAUGGGGUUAUAUUAUAGUCUACAGGGCUAUGAGGUAGGGUAUGGGGUUAUAUUAUAGUCUACAGGGCUAUGAGGUAGGGUAUGGGGUUAUAUUAUAGUCUACAGGGUUAUGAGGUAGGGUAUGGGGUUAUAUUAUAGUCUACAGGGCUAUGAGGUAGGGUAUGGGGUUAUAUUAUAGUGUACAGGGCUAUGAGGUAGGGUAUGGGGUUAUAUUAUAGGCUACAGGGUUAUGAGGUAGGGUAUGGGGUUAUAUUAUAUUCUACAGAGCUAUGAGGUAGGGUAUGGGGUUAUAUUAUAGGCUACAGGGCUAUGAGGUAGGGUAUGGGGUUAUAUUAUAGGCUACAGGGUUAUGAGGUAGGGUAUGGGGUUAUAUUAUAGUCUAUGGGGUUAUGAGGUAGGGUAUGGGGUUAUAUUAUAGUCUACAGGGCUAUGAGGUAGGGUAUGGGGUUAUAUUAUAGUCUACAGGGUUAUGAGGUAGGGUAUGGGGUUAUAUUAUAGGCUACAGGGCUAUGAGGUAGGGUAUGGGGUUAUAUUAUAGGCUACAGGGUUAUGAGGUAGGGUAUGGGGUUAUAUUAUAGUCUACAGGGCUAUGAGGUAGGGUAUGGGGUUAUAUUAUAGUCUAUGGGGUUAUGAGGUAGGGUAUGGGGUUAUAUUAUAGUCUACAGGGCUAUGAGGUAGGGUAUGGGGUUAUAUUAUAGUCUACAGGGUUAUGAGGUAGGGUAUGGGGUUAUAUUAUAGGCUACAGGGUUAUGAG